AUGGGGUAUUGUGUGUAGAUUGCUGAGGAAUUGUUUUAAAAAAAAUCUAUUUUAGAGUAAGGCUGUAAUGUGACAAAAUGUGGAAAAAGUCAAGGGGUCUGAAUACUUUCCGAAGGCACCGUCACAUUGCCUAAAUAGCAAGUAUCACACUUGAUUUUUCUAAAGGUAAAAUUUCUAUACAGAUUUUUAUUAAGAUGAGUAACUUUCUACAGCUCUUUUAUUUUGGUUCUGUUCAGGCUGAUGUGUGUCCAGAUGGACAUUGGUUCUGUUCAGGUUGAUGUGUGUCCAGAUGGACAUUGGUUCUGUUCAGGCUGAUGUGUGUCCAGAUGGACAUUGGUUCUGUUCAGGCUGAUGUGUGUCCAGAUGGACAUUGGUUCUGUUCAGGCUGAUGUGUGUCCAGAUGGACAUUGGUUCUGUUCAGGCUGAUGUGUGUCCAGAUGGACAUUGGUUUUGUUCAGGCUGAUGUGUGUCCAGAUGGACAUUGGUUCUGUUCAUGCUGAUGUGUGUCCAGAUGGACAUUGGUUCUGUUCAUGCUGAUGUGUGUCCAGAUGGACAUUGGUUCUGUUCAGGCUGAUGUGUGUCCAGAUGGACAUUGGUUCUGUUCAGGCUGAUGUGUGUCCAGAUGGACAUUGGUUCUGUUCAGGCUGAUGUGUGUCCAGAUGGACAUUGGUUCUGUUCAGGCUGAUGUGUGUCCAGAUGGACAUUGGUUUUGUUCAGGCUGAUGUGUGUCCAGAUGGACAUUGGUUCUGUUCAUGCUGAUGUGUGUCCAGAUGGACAUUGGUUCUGUUCAUGCUGAUGUGUGUCCAGAUGGACAUUGGUUCUGUUCAGGUUGAUGUGUAUCCAGAUAGACAUUGGUUCUGUUCAGGCUGAUGUGUAUCCAGAUAGACAUUGGUUCUGUUCAGGCUGAUUGCUGAUGUGUAUCCAGACAGACAUUGGUUCUGUUCAGGCUGAUGUGUGUCCAGAUGGACAUUGGUUCUGUUCAGGCUGAUUGCUGAUGUGUCCAGAUGGACAUUGGUUCUGUUCAGGUUGAUGUGUGUCCAGAUAGACAUUGGUUCUGUUCAGGUUGAUGUGUGUCCAGAUAGACAUUGGUUCUGUUCAGGUUGAUGUGUGUCCAGAUAGACAUUGGUUCUGUUCAGGCUGAUUGCUGAUGUGUAUCCAGACAGACAUUGGUUCUGUUCAGGCUGAUGUGUGUCCAGAUGGACAUUGGUUCUGUUCAGGCUGAUUGCUGAUGUGUGUCCAGAUAGACAUUGGUUCUGUUCAGGUUGAUGUGUGUCCAGAUAGACAUUGGUUCUGUUCAGGUUGAUGUGUGUCCAGAUGGACAUUGGUUCUGUUCAGGCUGAUUGCUGAUGUGUGUCCAGAUGGACAUUGGUUCUGUUCAGGCUGAUGUGUGUCCAGACAGACAUUAUUUACAUGUCAGUUUAUUUCAAUGAUGAUUCCCAUCAAGAGAUACUACGAUCUCUUGUUUUGAUCGAGUGUCUCUACAAGGGGUGGUAUGUAUGAAGACAUGUAACAUAUAUGAAAUAUGUUUUAAGUGAAGAAAGUGAUUUGCAAGGAAUGAAUUAUGACCUGCAUCCUAAAUGGCACCAUAUUCCCUACGUAGUGCACUUCUUUUGAACAGGACCCAUAGGGCACUGGUUAAAAGUAGUGCACUAUAUAGGGAAUAGGUAUUGGUACACAGCCAUGAUGAAAUGUAGGAAUCUAAACUGUUGUUUCGCUCAUAUGAUGUACGAAGGAAGAAACUAGAAGUUGAGUGAGUGACACAACAAUGUCCAUUUUUAUUUUCCUUAUAAACACCUAGAACUGAGGAAACAGACCAGCUCACUAAAAGUAGUUUUUCUUCUCUUCAACAUAAAUAUGCAGACUUCCUUUUGAAAACGGAAUCACAACGCAAAAACGUCACCCUAUUCCCUACGUAGUGCACUACUUUUGACCAGGGCUCUGGUGCACUAGGGAUCAGGAUGGCAGACAGGUUCAGAGUCAUUUUCUAAAGACAUUUUUUCAGACUCAAGUGACUGUCUUUUCUCUCGCAACCACAAAACACGAGGAACAACAACAACAACAAAGGAAAAGAUGAGGCAACACCAUGUUUUCUUUAAAGCAUUUCCAAUAAUAUGAAACCCAAACAGUUAUUUUGUGUUAAUAAUACAGCUUUAUCCAGCAAAUAAAAAGCACUUUGGUCAUCUUCA